GGGCCCGCACAAGCGGUGGAGCAUGUGGUUUAAUUCGAUGCAACGCGAAAAAACCUUACCUACUCUUGACAUACUUGGAAGCUCUUGUAAUGAGAGUGUGCCUUUUGGAACCAAGAUACAGGUGCUGCAUGGCUGUCGUCAGCUCGUGUCGUGAGAUGUUCCGUUAAGUCGGAUAACGAGCGCAACCCUUACCCUUAUUUGCCAGCGAUUCGGUCGGGAACUAUAAGGGGACUGCCGGUGAUAAACCGGAGGAAGGUGAGGACGACGUCAAGUCAUCAUGGCCCUUACGAGUAGGCUACACACGUGCUACAAUGGCAGGUACAGAGGGUUGCCAACCCGCGAGGGGAG
rnacentral:rRNA from 1 species